CGAAAUUGGUAGACGCUACGGACUUUUUAGAAAUCGUGAGGGUUCAAGUCCCUCUAUCCCCAAAAAGGGGCCCAC
rnacentral:tRNA from 1 species